AUCCCAUGAUGAGGACAUUCGAGUAUGUAGUCUUGAAAGCGCUCCUAUGCUUUUGGGACUAUCUCAUCAUGUUGUUGCUAAAAGCUCGAUAUCUUCCCACGCAGAGCAU
rnacentral:snoRNA from 1 species